rnacentral:lncRNA from 1 species
AUUUUUGUCUCAAUUUCCGCAGAUUUUCGUAAUUUUUUCCGGAAUUUUCUCUCUUUUCCCCCCCAGGUCGCCGAAUCCCAGGGCCUCCCCCCGGAAUCUCUCGGCCCCGCCCCCUUUUCCCACCUUCCGGAACGUUCCGACCCCGAAUCCCAAAUCCGGCACUUCCGGGGCCGCCUCGGGGGGGUCCUCAAGGAGCUCCAGGGGGCGGAGCCUGACCCCAAAGGGGGCGGGGCCUCCCUCGGGCCGUUCUCAUUGGCCGAAGCCGCGUGGGCGUGGCUGGAGGGGGAGGGGCAGCCGGACCGCGCCCGCCGCGUUCUGAUUGGCCGGAGGAAGCAGCAGCUGCAGCUCCUGGCGUGCCUCAGUUUCCCCGAGCCCGCGGCGGCGGCGGCGCUGCGGCGCAAUGGCGGCGGCCAAUGGGAGGCGCUGCAGGAGCUGCAAUGGCGGAAGCUCCGCCCCUUCCGCUUACGUCAUCGGCAGGGGGCGGAGCCUGCGCUGGACUUCCUGCGGGAGGAUCAGCAGGUGACUGGUUUAUACUGGUUUGUACUGGUUUAUACUGGGAGGGACUGGGAGAGAGUUUUGGGGUUACUGGUUUAUACUGGUUUAUACUGGGAGGGACUGGGAGGGACUGGGAUGAACUGGGAAUUGGUUUGGGGUUACUGGUUUAUACUGGGAGGGAUUGGAAGGAAGUUUUGGGGUUACUGGUUUGUACUGGUUUGUACUGGGAGGGUCUGGGAGAGAGUUUUGGGGUUACUGGUUUGUACUGGGAAUGGGUUUGGGGUUACUGGUUUAUACUGGGAGGGGUUUUGGGGUUACUGGGAUGAACUGGGAGGGACUGGGAUGAACUGGGACGUGGUUUGGGGUUACUGGUUUAUACUGGGAGGAAACUGGGAGAGAGUCUAAGUGUUACUGGUUUGUACUGGAGGGGGUUUGGGGUUACUGGUUCAUACUGGGAGGGGACGGG